rnacentral:rRNA from 1 species
CGGAUCGAAGUCUGNAACCCGACUUCGUGAAGCUGGAUUCGCUAGUAAUCGCGCAUCAGCCAUGGCGCGGUGAAUACGUUCCCGGGCCUUGUACACACCGCCCGUCAAGCCAUGAAAGCCGGGGGUACCUGAAGUACGUAACCGCAAGGAUCGUCCUAGGGUAAAACUGGUAAUUGGGGCUAAGUCGUAACAAGGUAGC